ACUUGUCAUAGGAACUCAGAUGGUAGGACCCGUUGGCUGGUUACUGCUAGCCCUUGCCAGCUUUGUCCUCACUGGCUGCCAACACCCCCGCCCCCGGGGCCCUGCUACAGACACCAGGUACUCCUAUUUAGAGCUGGUCAUGGAUAAGGAAAAGGCAGAUUUGGCCACAGGAUCUCAAAACAUAGAUCCACUUUAUGUAGAAAAAUCUCUUGAACCUAUCAGGAGUACCAGGUGAGCAAAAAGUGACUCAUGAUUAGAUAUAUCUAAGGAUGGCAAAGGGGCAAGUGAGAGAAACUGGAUUAAGUUAUCCCCCAGUGAAGAAUAUUACUUGUGUUAACAAAGUGUAAAUUUUCUGACACGUGACUUGCAAAGGAAAAUGUGAUUGAUUAGCUGAAGAACUCCCGAAGAUUGUAGCAAAUCUUUAAUAGUGUAAUAACCUUUGAAGAUUUUUUGAAGGAACACAUACAGAAGAAGAGGAAGAAAGUUCUCCCAAGUUUGACUCAGAAAACUUCUGAAAGAAUUCCCUACAUAUGCUGCCUCUGCUGAUUUCCUCCUGGAUUCUCAACAAAACUGAGGCCGAUCUCUAUACCUUAUCACAUAACCACGGGACUGGAAAUGCUUCCUCAGAGCCCUGACUAAUGGAUGUGAAACUGCUGGCACGGACACUAUCCAGGAUGUCCAGAAGUAUCCUAGGAUAGAACCUUACCGACGCUGUGAUGGGAAUCAAGUUGUGAAUGUUACGAAGGUUGUCACAGCUUGCAGCUUCAAGCUUCUUCAGAAUACAGUCGGGCACAUUUGGCACAGCUGCUGGAGGAGCCUCACUGGACUUUCUGCCCUGAAGAAAUCGCUCCUGAGCUGUGUGGCUGGGCUCAGGGCCUUAGACUCUGCAGCUGGGGUCUCUAGGUGGGAUUCAGGCACGUGCCCGGAGGCACCCAGGCCCAGGUUAGCAGCGGUCUUUGAAGUGUUUGUUAGUCUAUGAACCUUUCCAAUACCCACUUGCUCAGUGGCUCACUGUUCCAGAGACUGCACCACAUCCUGGCUAUGUGAUGUGAAUGUCUGAUUUAUGCCUUCCAGGGCAAACAAUCAAGUCAGAGGAAGAGGCAGAGAGAUUCUAACAUGAAUAUAAAGGUCGAAGUCCAUGGGAGGUGGGGAGGCAGAGGGAGGAUGAUCACUCCAUCUAGGACUUGGGGAAAGGUGCAAUUUGGUAGAUGGAAGGACCGACAGGCAUCUACCAGGCUUGAGAGAAGGUCCACUCAUCCUCUCUUUCUCCUUCUUCAGAAUUUCCUCUGGCUUGUGGGGCCUACCUCCUUUUACUGAGGUUGGGUUGAGAAGGAUGGGGCUGUGCUCCUCCUGAGUGUGAGCAGGUCCAGAAACCUGGUCCUUAGGCAAAUGUCUAGCUCUUUCUUCCCUUACAUGAGGCCUGAGCUGCUUCCCCUUGGGAGGAGGUGUGGCAUUGCUCCCUCUCUUUGGCCUGGAGCAGGUAGCCUCAUCUGGCUGUUCCCUGGGAAUCUGGUACAUUUGCUUUCCACAGUGCCCUUCCCAAACUGGCCUUGGUUCACAUACGGGUAAUCCAGGAUCUAGCUAUGGGUUGGGAAGGAGUCAGGCUGUGUAGCCAUUGGCUGCUUUAGUUCUAAGUUUCAGGUUUUUCAGCUAGAUGGAGUUCUCUCCACUGGCUCCAACGAGGGCUGGGAAGACAAAAUCUAAUAAAAUAAAGCCUGUCUCUUUGCACAGCCUUCUGUCUAUGAAUAUCAGCAUGCUGUAAGUCUUAUAGCCUACUUAGCAAACCAUUCUUUCUUCUUUUAUAUAGUAUGCCAUUUCAAAGAAAAUGUGUAUUUGUUUGUAGUGUUUAAUGCAAAUUUUAAAAUUUUUAGACAGCCAGAAAAUUGAUUAGAUAGGCAUGAACUUCAGUGCUUUAUUGGAUGGCUA